UGCCUCAGCCAUAUCUCCCUGCAGCCCAAGACCGGUUACUCACUUAUGCCAAGCAGGGCUAAGCCUGGUCAGUAGCAGAAAGGGAGACCUCAUGGGAAAGCUAGGUUGCAUGGGAAA
rnacentral:rRNA from 1 species